rnacentral:rRNA from 1 species
UACGUAGGGGGCAAGCGUUGUCCGGAAUCAUUGGGCGUAAAGCGCGUGUAGGCGGUUCGGUAAGUCGGCUGUGAAAGUCCAGGGCUCAACCCUGGGAUGCCGGUCGAUACUGCCGGACUAGAGUUCGGAAGAGGCGAGUGGAAUUCCCGGUGUAGCGGUGAAAUGCGCAGAUAUCGGGAGGAACACCAAUGGCGAAGGCAGCUCGCUGGGACGUUACUGACGCUGGAGACGCGAAAAGCGUGGGGAGCAAACAGG